CCCUUCUCCAGGGAUCUUCCCAACCCAGAGGUGGAACCCCAUCUACUGCAUUACAGGCAGAAUCUUUACCAUCUGAGCCACCAGGGAAGCGCAUCUACAUAUAAAAUAGAAGAAUAUAAUGUUUCACUUUAACUGAUGCCUGGCCUAAAUUUCCAGUCAUACUAGCCAUUGUUUUAAAAUAUCCCUUAUGGGCAGAGACACUGUAACAUAUAUUAAAAUUAAACCAAUUUUCUUGUGAUUGUGAAUUGGUUUCAUAAAACAGCAUCCUAGGGACUGCUCCCCCACCCCCUAGUUAAAACAGUUAAUGUGCUCCAAAGUAAAUGAAAACAUAGUCUUCAAAGAUGAAAAUUUUGUAAAACCCUUAUUACUAAAGGGGUGAUUAUCCCCAUUUCUCCAUUUGACACCCGAACCUUGCCUGGCCUAAGAUUUGGGGGGAAAUUUAGGGCAUUCCAUACUGGAUGACUACUAAUAAUACUGCAGCUUCAUCGAUUAGAGCCCCCAGACUCAACAUCCAAUAUUGUCAAAACCACUAAUUCUGUUCAAUCAACAACUGGCACAUAUUUUGUUCUGUUCAGUGCGUAUGUCAACAGUCUCAUCUAAGAUAGCCUGCACUCCCAAAGGGACACAAUUCCCCCUUUCCAGGCUUCCCACAGGUACCCCAAGGGCUCAGCAUCUCCAUUGCAUACCCUCUGGGCAGACAAUGUCUUAGCCGCAUCCCCCUUUCUCCAGGAGCACAGGUAUUGAAACAGGAGCAGAACCCUAUGGUCCUUGCCCCCCAUGCCCCACCAUGUGCCUGCCUUUCUUCUAUCUGAGGCAAACUUCAGUCAAAGAAUGACUGCAAUCAAAGAAGUGAGAGAUGGGAAAGCAAAGGAAAAGAGUCAAAGGAGACUGAUAAUAAUGUAGUCAUUAAGCAUAGUUGAGGAUAUUUAGCUGUUUCUGAAGGGCUAUAAACAAUAUUCUGAGCCAUAUCCUGUGAGCCACCUUAUAGAUACCGAAGCACCAAGUGGAGAUGUGAUUUACAUGAUGGCUAGACUGCACCCAGGCCAUAAGCUGCCACUGUUUUCCUUGGGAAUGCAAUUUAUGUUGAAAAAUUGUUACAUGUUAGGAGGGACAGUCAAUAUACAAAGUACUCAAUAGCAAGUAGAUAUUUUUAACCUUGGUUAAUCAGACAACAAGUCUUAACAAAUUUUCUUUUUUCGUAUUUUCUAUAGAAAAUAUAGCAGCUGACUGUGCUGUUUCUGCAUAUAGCGACCCCCUCACACUUCUGCCUGGAAAAGCUCUUGCCCCACUGGUUGCCAGGAAGGGUUUGGGUGGGGGAGCGGUCAGUUGGCCUUUGGACAGGUGUCCACCAUCCUCCCCUCAGCCUGCCGGCGUCUGAAAUAAAGCCAACUUUCCUUCUUUCCACCAACCUGGCCGGUCUACUUGUUUGAGAGCAGAGCAGCCUGACCCACCACACUUCUUCCGGCAGCAGUGUGAGGUUUCAGGAUGACAUCCACCUUCAAGGAGAUGCAGUGGAAGCACGUUUCAUGUGCUAAGGACACAGACAUCUCAUACCUUCUAGUCCUUUCCUGGGGUUCUGAGGCAACACAGUGCUCAUGUACACAUCUUCCUUCCAUAUUAGAGUCAACAGACAGUCCCGUCAGUGCCCUCAGAGACUCCUGCACUCAAGAAGCUUCGGGAACUGUAUCUCCCACCAUGUGGAGUCUCUGCACGGCUUCUGAUGGCCACAACGUGCCCAAGGAUUCGGGUGCAAUGACACUACCCCUAGCAAGCUUUCUCAGCCCUCUCAAGACACAAGUACCUCCAUAUUUGAUUCUCACACACACAUAACCCAUAUUCCCAUGGUCCUGGUCCCCGGCUUCUCAGAGACCACCUCCAGAGCUCCAAACACACUUGGGUUAUUCAAAAAGGGAUAUGCAGCAGCUGGCUUGGCCCCACCCCACUCCCCACUUCCUGGAGCCCUUUUGUCUGAAAACCAGCAGAUCUCAGCUGUGGUUUGGCACGCCCCCUCAAACUUCCACAGUGCUUUAAAACCUGCACCCUGCGCGGUGCCUCUCCUCACUAGAAGAGCCGUGAACGACUUCAGCUUCUGUCUGUAGUGACCCUGGCCUCUCUGCAGAGACGCUCAGGCACCCCUACGAAUUAAGUCGCAGCCACCGCCUGAUCGAAAGCAAGGCGAUAUUCAUUAUGUUUUGCGAGAGAGCCAGAACGACUUCUUUUAUGCAAGACCUCCUCCUGUGCUUUCUAAAGCACCUUGUGUGGACUUAUCUCGAGGAGCAAUAUCUUGGAAGCUUGCUGAAUCUUUAGUUUUCUUUGAAAUGGGAAGCCUCGUCCCUCGCGAAUGCUCCCCGUGAAGGGCUGCAGAUGGUUAUUACGUCGCCAUGUUCUCCGCUUCACAUUCUUAUUUCUGAAUGCCACUGAUGAGACUCCUUCUUCUCGCAUCCCAAAACACCCUGUCCACACCCCACUCCCCCAACCCGUGGUGCCCUCCAUCUACAACUUAAAAAAAAAAAAUUGAAAGCUGAUACCCGAGUAAAAUAAAGAUAUAAGUAAAUGCAA